rnacentral:miRNA from 1 species
GGUACGGACAUGGGGGCUUUGG